rnacentral:lncRNA from 1 species
GGAGAUGGAAGAUAUAGGUGAAAAAUACUUUAAUGAUCUUGUCUCCAGGUCACUUUUCCAGCAAUCCACUGGUGAUUCUUUUUUCAGCAUGCAUGACCUCAUAAGUGAUUUAGCUGAAUACGUGUCAGGAGAAUUUUGCUUCAAGCUUGGUAUUAAUGAAUCGGGCUCUGGGUUGGAGAGUGAACAUUCAUGCUCGCUUCCAGAAAGGACUCGUUAUUUAUCAAUCACUUCAGCGGCAGCAUAUGGCGGAGGACUUCGGAUUUUUCGUAGCAUUCAUGGAGUCCAACAUUUGCGCGCCUUGUUUCCACUGAAGUUUUUUGUGGAAGUUGAUAUUGAGGCACUGAAUGACAUUUUGCCAAAUCUUAAGCGCUUGCGAAUGCUAUCUUUAUGUCAUCCAAAAGAUAUUUCUUCUCAGUUGCUCAAUUCCAUUGGCAACUUAAAACAUUUGCGGCACUUGGACCUUUCUCAGACAGUAUUUAAACGGUUGCCCGAAAGUGUGUGCACCUUGUACUAUUUGCAAAGCUUAUUGUUAAAGGAGUGCCGACUUCUCAUGGAGUUGCCAUCCAACCUUUCCAACUUGGUCGACUUACAACAUCUUGAUAUUGAAGGGACAAAUUUGAAAGAGAUGCCACCAAAAAUGGGGAAACUCACGAAGCUUCGAAUUUUGGAAUCUUACAUCGUGGGAAAAGAUAGCGGGUCUAGCAUGAAAGAGUUGGGGAAGCUCUCACACAUAAGGAAAAAACUUUCUAUUCGGAAUCUCAGAGAUGUUGCAAAUGCUCAAGAUGCUUUGGAUGCCAAUUUGAAGGGUAAGAAGAAGAUUGAGGAGUUGGGGUUGACGUGGGAUGGCAGUACGGAUGACACACCACACGAGAGAGAUGUACUUGAGAAAUUGGAGCCUUCUGAAGAUGUGAAAGAGCUUGCCAUUAUUGGUUACGGGGGUACAACGUUUCCAGGCUGGCUUGGAAACUCUUCUUUCUCAAAUAUGGUAACGUUGCUUCUUUCUGGAUGUACGAACUGCAUCCUCUUACCACCAUUGGGGCAGCUGCCAUCUCUAGAAGAGCUCGAAAUUGAAGGAUUUGAUGAAGUCGUGGCAGUUGGUUCUGAGUUCUAUGGAAGUGACCCUCCAAUGGAGAAGCCAUUUAAAUCCCUCAUAACAUUAAAGUUUGAGGGGAUGAAGAAAUGGCAGGAAUGGAAUACAGAUGUAGCUGGUGCUUUCCCUCAUCUUGAAAAUCUCUUGAUAGCAGGUUGUCCAGAGUUAACAAAUGGCUUGCCUAAUCACCUUCCUUCUUUAUUGAUACUUGAGAUUCGAGCGUGUCCGCAGCUUGUGGUUUCAAUUCCAGAGGCUCCCCUGCUCAGAGAAAUCAAUGUAUCUGAGGGAGAUGAAAGUCGUAUAACUGGUCGUACGUCGUCCUAUUAUUGCUACUACUUACCAGAUCAACCACCCAAGUGCCUUCAUUUUAGACGAGAUCCCCAGCUAACGGGAAUGGAGCAAAUGAGUCAUUUGGAUCCCCGUCUUUUCACUGAUAUCAAAAUCGAGGAAUGUAGUUCAUUUAAGUGCUGCCAGCUAGACCUUUUACCCCAGGUCACCACACUUACCAUUGAACAUUGUCUCAAUCUGGAAUCCCUAUGUAUAGGCGAGAGACCUGUCCCUGCUCUCUGUCGUCUGACAAUCAGUCACUGUCCUAAUUUGGUGUCUUUCCCCAAAGGAGGACUAGCUGCCCCGGAUUUGACAAGCCUUGUGUUAGAGGGUUGCUUAUAUUUGAAGUCGUUGCCGGAAAACAUGCGUUCCCUCCUACCUUCCCUACAGGAUUUGCAAUUGAUCUCACUUCCAGAAGUUGAUUCGUUUCCUGAAGGAGGUUUACCCUCCAAUUUAAACACACUUUGCAUUGAAGAUUGUAUCAAACUCAAGGUAUGUGGUUUGCAAGCACUCUCUUCUCUUUCAUACUUCGAAUUUAGUGGGAACGAUGUGGAGUCUUUUGACGAGGAGACGUUGCCCUCUACUCUCACAACCCUUAAAAUCAAACGUCUGGGAAACCUGAAGUCUCUGGACUAUAAGGGGCUUCAUCACCUCACCUCUCUUCAGGGAUUGGGUAUCGAGGGUUGCCCUAAGCUUGAGUCCAUAUCAGAGCAGGCGCUUCCCUCCUCCCUUGAAUACCUUUAUCUCAGAAAUCUAGAAUCUCUGGACUACGUGGGGCUUCAUCACCUCACCUCUCUUGACACAUUGAAGAUCAAGAGUUGCCCUAAACUUGAGUUCGUAUCAGAACAGGUGCUGCCCUCCUCCCUUGAAUACCAGGGGCUUCAUCACCUCACCUCUCUUAGAAAUUUGAGUAUCGAGAGUUACCCUAAACUUGAGCACAUAUCAGAACAGGGGCUGCCCUCCUCCCUUGAAUGCCUUCAUCUCUGUAAACUGGAAUCUUUGGACUACAUUGGGCUUCAGCACCUCACCUCUCUUCACAAAAUGAAGAUCGGGAGUUGUCCUAAACUUGAAUCGUUGCAGGGGCUGCCUUCCUCCCUUGAAUUCCUUCAGUUAUGGGAUCAGCAAGACCGGGACUAUAAGGAACUUCGGCACCUCACCUCUCUUCGCAAAAUGAAUAUAAGAAGGAGCCUUAAGCUUGAGUACCUUCAAGAAGGCACACUUCCCUCCUCCCUUAAAGACCUUGAAAUCCAGGAUUUGGAAGAUCUGGAUUAUAAGGGGUUUCGGCACCUCAGCUCUCUUCGUAAAUUACAUAUCUGUAAUUCUCCUAAGCUCGAGUUCGUGCCAGGAGAGGAGCUGCCCUCCUCCCUUGUAUCUCUUAAAAUAUCAGGUCUGAUAAAUCUGAAAUCUGUAAUGAGGCUUCAGCACCUCACCUCUCUUCGCAAAUUGAUUAUCCGGGAUUGUCCUAAGCUUGAGUACUUGCCAACAGAAGAGCUGUCCUUACCCCUAGUUCCUGAUAUUAGUGGUUGUCCUUUUGUAGAACCGAGUUGUUGCAUUAGUUAGACCAUGUAUCUUACCCGCGCUCCGCGGCCGAGCGAUUAGUUAUAUAAUUAAAUUUAAUAAAUAGGUUUUACAAUACAUUUUUAAUAUAAAAUAUUUUUCAAUAAUAAAUAGAAAUAUCUUUACAUACAUUAGUAAUUAGAUCAAUAUUUCAUAAAAAAAUAAUUAAAAUUGAGAUAUUUAAUCUUAUAAUAUGAAUCAUGCAUUUAGUUGUGUUUAACAAUUAUAUUUCCUAGAUUUUUUUUUUUAAAAAAUACAUGGGUCAAACUAUAUAAAUAUAAUAACCUUGUGACAUGAUUGAGAUAAUUUUAUAGAAAAAAAAGUAAAAAAAAAAGAAGCACAAAUACCAAUUCCAAAAAAAAUUACAUGUUGAAGGAUGAAAUUAAAAUAACACAAGAAUACUUGAUUUCACAUCAGGUUCAUGCAUUCAGCUAUGUUUAAUAACUUUGUUUUUUAGAAUAUUUUUUUAUUUAAUCAAACAAUUAUCUAUGCAAAUAAAAGGUAAAAAAAAUCACAAAUGAAAGCAAAUAAAAUCAAAUCAUGAAGCUUAAUUAUAAAACAACUCAAUGUUGAAUGAUGAAUUUUUUAAAAAAAUAAUUAAGAAAAACAAAAAAAAUAUGAGUCAACCCUCGUUAAUCCGCUAACAUUGCGACCAUUGGCAUAUGAUUGGAAUAAACCCAUAGAGAUGAAAGUGAAAGAAAAUAAAUACAAAGACCAACUCUCAGAAAAAUUAAAUGUUGAAGGAUGAAAUUAAAAAAAAAAUACUAGAGUCAAAUCAUGUUAAUAUUUGAAACUUGUAAUUGUGAUCAUGAGACCAAGACUACUCAUGUAUGAGUCAAACCCAAAAAAACAACAAAACAAAUUUCUCAAUAAAAAAAUAUCGAGGCAUGAAACUUUCAAUAAAAAAAAAACAUGAAAACAAUAUGAAUCAACCAGGGUUAACUCGCUAACCCCGUGACCAUGGAAACAGAUCGGGAUAACCUUAUUGAAAGUAAAGUGACAGAGAAAAGCACAAAGAACAACUAUAUAAAAAAUAAACGUUGAAGGGUGAAAUUAAAAAAAAAAGAUCAUUAACCUUUAAAACUCAUGAUCAUGAUGUUGGGACUAACCAUAUAAAAAACAACAUAACAAAAUUCUCUGUAUAAAAAAGUUGAGGCAAGAAACUUAGUAAAAAAAGCAACAUAAAAUAUCUGAGUCAACUAUGUAACCACGAGUAUAUAAUUUAAAUAAUCUUAUAGAAAGGAAAGAAAAAACAAAACAUGAAAACCAAUUUCAUAAAAAUUAAAUAUUGAAGAAUAAAAUUGAAAAAAAUAAAUUUCUAUCAUUAAGAAACCAAAAUCAACCCGUGCAAACCUUUAAAAGCCAUGUCAAAAAAAAAAGCUAAGUGAUGAAAUCUUUAAAAAAAACCAAUAAAAAAAAUUCAAAACAUAAUAAAUAUAAGUAAAAAAAAAUAGAGAUCAAAUUCGAUACUAAAAAUUAAAAAUCAAAUAAAGAGGAAUAAAAUCGAAACAAUAUCUAAUUAGUUGAAGGAUUUAAAAAUAUCAAAAGAAAUAGUGCUAAGUUUUAUAUAAAAAUAAAAUAAAAUAAAAUGAUUAGAGAUAAAUAGCAAUGAAUACUAUUUUUAUAAAAUAAAAAUUAAAAAAACUGUAGAAAAACACAAUAAAAAUAUAAAAACUAUAUGUAAUAUAAGUGUUAACCGCACGUAUCAAACAUUGGUUCCAAACAAAACUAGAAAAUAAAAAAACUAGACACCUGCAUCAUCACGUCCAAACCUGCCUAAAAGGCAGAAAAAACUGCACAUGCAUUUGCAAUACCAUGCCACAACCAAAUCAAUCUUACCAAAAACAUCCUUUAUUCAUCAUUAAAGGUCCUCUUGUGAACAAAACAUAAAAACAUAGUGAAAACAAAAAGAUUGGUUUCAAUGGCAAAUGCAUAAGCAAAAAAUAUUCAAAUCAAUGUAGAAAUCAUAAAGAGAGCAACGGAAGGACAAAAAUCGAUCAAAAAACCCUCACUGACAGAAGAAACAACACACUUUCACCUCAUGUGUUCUCCAUCGGUUUGUUUAAGAAAAAAAAGACGAGCUGCAGCAUCACCACCUCCAUCCUCUCUCAUAAGCUUCUUCUUCUCCAAUGUGCAUACCUUUUUGGUUCACACAUGUUCUAUGCCUCCUCUCCCUCUUCUAAAUCAUGACUACAAGUGAAGAAAACAACUCUAAUCCCACCCAAAAACAAUGUUCUAAUACCAAAUUUGAUAUGAGACAAAAGAGAUUUAAAGUUAAAGAAGAGAAAAAAAAAGUCAAAGAAAGAGAAAAAAAACUGAUAAAGACUAAAACCCUGAUUAUAACAUAUAAUUAAACUUAUAGCCCACUAAAUAAAAUAGUAAAAACAAUAAUUAAAUCAAAUCCAAAAAAUAAUGUAUGAUUAAUAAAUUUCAACUAAAAAAUUAAAUAAAUUAAACUAAAAUAUAAGUUGAAGCUCCAUCUCUUAAUGAUUUGAGCUACCCUCCAUCAUUUAUAAUCAUACAAAUACGUAAAUAGUGUUCUUUCGAGUCCGUCCCUACCACUUAUAUAUAUAUAUAUAUACAGAGAAUUUAAGUCUAGUAUUUGAACGGUUCAUAAACCUCGAUCCAUCAUGCGAUUUCUCAAGAUGACGUUGUUAUAAUUUCAAAAAACUAUUUACAGAAGAUUUAUCUUCAAGGACAAGAGUUGAAUCCUUAAUAUUUUACUUGUCAUAACUUAAUUUUGGCCCUUUGGUUUUUAAUUUAAUUUUUACAGGGUUUAAAAUGAAAAUUUAAAAGAUCAGAGAUUUAUUUCGAUGAAAAGUGUGAUUUGUCAAACUUCCGUGAAAAUUAAGGAUUACAAUGUGUUUUUGUCAUUCUAUCUUUAUCUUCAAGAUAAUCCCUAUCUUCAAGAUAAUCUUUAUCUUCGAGAUAAUCCUUGUUUUUAAGAUAAUGAUAGUUAUCCGAUUUCAAAUUUGAUUCUUAAUCAAAUUCAAACUUCAAAGAAGAGAAUGAGUUUGAUUGAAACUUGGUUUCUCACACGCGAAAGGACUCUGACACUAUAAAUACAGAUUUCAGGGUAUGAAAAAAAGAAGAGAGGAUGAUUAGGGAGAGACCCUAAAGAAACAGGGAAAAAACCCAGGAAAAGGCCAUUGUAAAAGAGAUUUAAAGUUAAAGAAGAGAAAAAAAAAUCAAAGAAAGAGAAAAAAAACUGAUAAAGACUAAAACCCUGAUUAUAACAUAUAAUUAAACUUAUAGCCCACUAAAUAAAAUAGUAAAAACAAUAAUUAAAUCAAAUCCAAAAAAUAAUGUAUGAUUAAUAAAUUUCAACUAAAAAAUUAAAUAAAUUAAACUAAAAUAUAAGUUGAAGCUCAAUCUCUUAAUGAUUUGAGUUACCCUCUAUCAUUUAUAAUCAUACAAAUACGUAAAUAGUGUUCUUUCGAGUCCAUCCCUACCACUUAUAUAUAUAUAUAUACAGAGAAUUUAAGUCUAGUAUUUGAACGGUUCAUAAACCUCGAUCCAUCAUGCGAUUUCUCAAGAUGACGUUGUUAUAAUUUCAAAAAACUAUUUACAGAAGAUUUAUCUUCAAGGACAAGAGUUGAAUCCUUAAUAUUUUAAUUUUCAUAACUCAAUUUUGGCCCUUUGGUUUUUAAUUUAAUUUUUACAGGGUUUAAAAUGAAAAUUUAAAAGAUCAGAGAUUUAUUUCGAUGAAAAGUGUGAUUUGUCAAACUUCCGUGAAAAUUAAGGAUUACAAUGUGUUUUUGUCAUUCUAUCUUUAUCUUCAAGAUAAUCCCUAUCUUCAAGAUAAUCUUUAUCUUCGAGAUAAUCCUUGUUUUUAAGAUAAUGAUCGUUAUCCGAUUUCAAAUUUGAUUCUUAAUCAAAUUCAAACUUCAAAGAAGAGAAUGAGUUUGAUUGAAACUUGAUUUCUCACACGCGAAAGGACUCUGACACUAUAAAUACAGAUUUCAGGGUAUGAAAAAAAGAAGAGAGGAUGAUUAGGGAGAGACCCUAAAGAAACAGGGAAAAAACCCAGGAAAAGGCCAUUGUAGAAACCCUAUAAAAAAAAAUAAAAAAAACAUUUAUAAAAAAAAAAAGAGCGCGGCCGAAUCCUUAACUAGCCGCCGCACCCUCCCCCCAGCUUUUUCCUCUCUUCUUCCCUGGUCCCAAACCAGCUAUUAAACGCUCCUAUUCAUUGAUUUUCUUUCCGCCAAUCUCAACGCCAAGGAGCUGCAACUCCUCAUAAAAAUAAAAAUAAAAAGUCUUUCUCCCUCCCAGUCACCGACCUUCAGCCUCUCUUCCCCGCUCUCACUCUCCCCGUUAACCACCAUCCUUCAUCUCAGCCUCCUCACCGAGAACACAAGCCUCCACCCAUCAAUCCUCAGCCACAGGGAAACCGAAGGAAACCAUACACAGACAGCCCUUUCACUUCCUUUUUCUGCGACCGAUCGAUCCCUCAAACUGACCACACACGGUCUUCUUCCCCCAUCCGCAAUAUUUCUCUUUCUUCCCUAGCCGACUACCAUGAGCAACGGAGAAGCAGCACCCGAAGACCCAAUGGUUCCAGCCACAGGCAGCUGCAAAAACAGAGAAGAGUUUUCCUCAGAACUCAGCUGCAGCAGCAAAAGUCGUGUGGUGUAGUUUUUUUUCCUUCCUCCAGCGGUGCAGUUUCUUCAUGCACAAGAACCGUGAGGCUCCAGCAUGGCAGCCAUGGACUGUCUAGCCUCCAUUGAAGUAACGCUUAGAAGCACUCUUCUCGCCAGCCUUUGCACCAGCAGUGAACAUCAGCAGUUUUUUAGCUCCAACAGCCACUCCUCUCUCCCCACCGUGCUCUUCCUGCCAGCGUCCACUAGUUCCUCGAUCGGGAGAAGAUCCUGCUCCACCGGGGUCAGCUUCCUCUUUUCUCUUCCGGCCGUGGCUCUAGCCAUCGCUAGUGUCAGUGAGUCGCUUCCCCUCCUGUAUUACAAUUCACGUUAGUAGCUGUGAAUUAUAGUUCACUUGCUACUGUAGCAACUGAACUAUAAUUCACUUGCCUCAACCGGGUCACUGGCUUAGGCCAGUGACCAGACCGGGGAGGUUGGGUCUACACAGCCAUGCAGGCUGGGUCAGACCCACCCAAAAUAAAUAAAUAAAAAAACAUAAUAAAAAAAUAGUUUUUUUUAUUCAGAUUUUUGUGGGUUUAUUCACUGGCGUCAGAGUCAGGAAUUAUACCGUAUUUUGUGGAUUGCACAAUAUUUAUCAACGCCAGAGUUGGAAAUAUUCAUAGUUCACUGGCGCCAGAGUCAGGGAUUAUACCGUAUUUUGUGGAUUGCACAAUAUUUACCAACUCCAGAGUUGGAAAUAUUCAUAGUUCACUGGCGUCAGAGUCAGAAAUUAUACCGUAUUUUGUGGAUUGCACAAUAUUUACCAACGCCAGAGUUGGAAAUAUUCAUAGGUAAAUAUUCAAUGAUGUCAGAGUUGGGGAUAUUAUAGGAUGACCAUAAGAACAGAACACAAACAAACCUUUAGCAAUUUUAGACAAAAUCAGCAAUGCAGCCUGCCUCAGGCAGGACGCUUAAGGGGUGAUAGCAUCUUCCCUUUCGCGUAACCAAUCCCGGAUCAUAAAAUCUCUAUUGACCAGUUAGGGUUCCUAGUGACCAUAAUACUAGGUGGUGACUCCUUAAACAAGACCUUUCCCCCUAAAAGAACAAGAUGUCAGAUAUCUGUUCUUAUUCCAUUUGUGAUUAAUUUUUAAUCAGUCGUCGCGAUGUCCGGGUGUGACAUUACUGUCAGUUCUAUUUAUGUGCUUGAUAAAGUUAAUUAAUUUAGUUAUAUAAUUAUCUUUAUCCUAUAUAUUUAUUAGUUUGUAUACAUGAAGUAUAUCUUAAUCACGUCACAUUAAAUCAAACGUUAGCAUUUAUAUGCCAACAUUAAUAGUGAUAAAGUUAAUUAAUUCGAAGCUUUUACAUACAAAAUAUACUUUGAAAAUCACUUUAUAAAUCUCAUAAUGGUAAUAUCACAUUAAUAGUGAAAGAUCUACGUACUCAACCAUGCAUGAUGUCAAAAGUUUUCCUUGACGAACAUGCCACGUCACUUUUUCAUUUACUUAGCUAAUCUAUUUCCAUAAGAAGCAAAAGAUUCUGUAUAAAAUUUUUCUAUAAAUACAUUUUGUAUUUUAAUUUUUUGUUUUAAAAGUGUUUUUAAAAGAAAUUAAAAUUUUUUAAUUUUUUUAAAAGAACUUUUUAUAUUUUUAUAUUGUUGAAUAUGCUGAUUUUAAAAAUAAAUUCUAAAAAUUAAAAAAUAUAUUAUUUAAAUAUAUUUUGAAAAAACAACUGUAUUUUUGCAGGAAAAACACCUAUAAAUUAACAUUUUUAGCCCGUGACGGUGACAUGCAGUUCUACCCAUGACGGUGGCGGGGAGUCCUGCCAAUUGUACAUGUCGGAUCCUUCUUGCCCGUGACGGUGACGGGCAAUCUCGCCGGUCAUUUCAGUAUGGCCCCAGGUGAAAACAUUUGGCUUUUUUUAAUUACAGAAAAUUUAACCAUGUAUAUAUUUAUUUAUAUUUGCGUUCAUGUGCUAAAUUCUUGAAGAACUCAAUGGAUGCUGAAAUUAAAGAUUCUUGGCGUUACAAAUUUUCACUUGAAAGUGCAAAACUAUAAAAUCCUCCAUUGCUUUUGAAUUACAAAUCGUAACCAAUAUUUUCCAAAACCAAACCUCAAUUAAAAAAUUAAAAUGAAAUGAGUUUAUUUUUUUAAAAAAGUAUUUUUUAUUUAAAAAUAUAUCAAAAUUUAUUUUUAAAAUUUUUAUUUUAUUUUUAAUAUCAACACAUUAAAACAAUAAAAAAAUACUAAAAAAAAAUAUUAAUUUAAUACUUUUCAAGUUAAAUAUAAUUUUAAAAUAUACCCAAAUACAAUUUCAACCACAAUAUCCAACCGUCACAAACCCCUUAACUUAACCUAGAAAUUUUUUAGCAGUUAAUUAUUCUAAAAUAAUAUAUAUUAACUGAUUGAUCCUCACACUAAUAUGAAAUAUGAAUAUCUAUUGCUUUGGGCCACUCAUUUUAAAAAACAAAUAGCAAGCAGGGGUAGCAGUUUGAGAAUAGUAGGGAAGGAGGUUCUCUUUUGUAUCGGUUGAAAGUAGUGUAUAAUGAUUAUUUUUUAAUUUUUUUUUUUAAAAUAUUUUAAAAUAAUAUUUUUUUAUUUUUUAAAAUUUAUUUUUAAUAUUAAUAUUUCAAAAAAAACUGAAAACAUAAAAAAAUUAGUUUAAAGUAAAAAAAUAAAAAAAUAAUUUAUUUUAAAAAUAUAAAAAACUAGCUUUUAAUAAUUAAAAUUAGUGUUGUGCCCGCGUGAUAUGCUGCGGGAUGAAUUAAAAUGUUAUUUUCAAUGCUAAAAGGGAUGUAGUCGUCAAUAACAUAUUUUCACCCAUUUAUCAUUUGACAUGUAUUCUUAGGUAGCAUAGAUUUAAAAUUAAAUAUUUUUAAUUGAAGGAAAGUUUUUUCAUUAAAGAUUCUGAUAAGCUGAUGUACAAGAAAUAAAUAUUUCAGAGAAGAAAAAUGUCAAAAUAUUAUGAUUUAUUAUUUAUUUAAUUAUAUAAUAAAAAAAAUAAACAUGUGCAUGAGAGAUAAAUAAUAAAAUAAGAAAAACAUGAAGAACUACAUAAAAGAAGAGCUUGUUUAUGUUAUAAAUAAAUGCCACAAUCUUAAUAAAAAUAGAGUAAAAACCAAACAUUAUAUGAAAAAAUAAUAUCCUGAAUAUGUUUUUAGUAGUUUAAUUCUAAGGAAUUUAAAUUUAAAUUGAGGGAAAAAAAACUUCUUAACAAAAUAAAACUUAUGAUGUUAGUUGUUACACCAACAUUAAACAUGCUCGAAAACAACUUCUUUUUCAAAGCAUGCAAUUAUAUGGAACCAAAUUAAUUUAUAAUUUUUUUAUUUAAAAAAAAUAAUUAAAAAUUUGUAUUAAUAUACUGAUAUCAAAAAUAAUUUUUUUUUUAAAAAAAAUAUUUUAAUAUAUUUCUUACUAAAAAAUACUUUAAACUAUUAUCGCUAUUAUAAUUCCAAACAGUUAAUCAAGCUGAUUGUUAUAUUACUCCUCAUGGAACCAAAUCAAUCCAUAACUUACGAGAUUUAUUGCAACUCUUGCUUACUUUUGUAUUCCAUAACCUAUGCUUGCUUUCAAAUGUGUGUGUGUGUGUGUGUGUGUGUGUCAAAGGCUCUCCCUGUGAUUUUCAACUUUCCUUUCACUCUUAAUUUACAAACAUGUUUGUCGUUCAGAGUAAGUAUCUCAGCUCACUAUUUUCGAGUUCUGGUUCUGCAUAACAGAGGAGCAUGAGAUUCUUAACGCCAGCGUCCAACGUUAACCGAGCAUAGAUAAUUGGGUUUCCGGGACAAAUGAAACGACAAGUCGACGUCAAAAAAUUGUGCUAAUAAAUUUUGCUCUUCUUUUUUAAAUCCUUUUCCUUCAGAAGAUUUGAGGAACGACUUGGUAGAGUGAUGCUUGGAGGAGCAAUAUAAUUCUUUUUUAAAUCCUUCUCCGUCAUAGAUCUAAGACAUGGAGAAAUUAAAAUUAAUACUUGAAUCCAAGGUUGUUAAAAAUGUUUUUUUAACACCAUACGAAAUAUAUAAUAUAAACUCGGAUGGUAAAAUUAUAAAUAAAAUAUUUUAACUAAUUAUAUAUUAACAAUUCCAAUCAAGUAGUAAAUAAUAAUAUAACACAAUUAAAAUAAAAGUGAAAUAAACAAUACAAAUAUUCAAACAUCUUAAAAUACAUGAUUCAAAUAAAAAUUCAUACAUGGUUUAAAUAACUUAACAAUACAAUAUAACACAAUUAUGUCCAUAGAAUUUCAUUAACAAACCUAAAACAAACAAUUUGUUGGUGUGUCUUGUAACUAAACACAACCUCAUUACCUUUAUUUUCCUCAUGAUUCCUAAAAUAUUCAUUAAAAUAAUUACUAUCUAAAAAAUUAUUAUUACUACUACUAAUAUCAGCAUCGAUAUUGUGAACAUUAAUGCUACUACUACUAAUAUAAAAAAUUGAUGAUGAUCUAUCUCUUCUUUUAUUUUCUAUAAAACACUUAUUUAUAUUUAAAUUCAACUUGAUUUUACCGGUCAAUCCAAUAACUUAUUUAUUCAUAUCAUAAUUUAUAUCAAGUCUUAUAUUAAAUUAGAUGAGAGUUAAUUAUAUAUUAGCCAAAAUAAAUAAAAAAUUUAGGAUACCGAAUGUUGAAAUGACAUUUAAAGAAUUAAAUUAAAUCAUCAUAAUUAAUAAUUAUUUUUUUAAAAUAAAACUAUAUAAAUUGAAGGCGAAGUGGCCUUGGUAUAAAAGGAAAGCAAAACAUAAGGCCUCACUGUUUUCAGCCUUUUUCUUACCAAAAUAUCCUCUUCUUCAUUUCCUUUCUCUAACCCCUCUCUCUCUCCCUCCCUCUCUCUCUCUCUCUCAUUUGGGAUCCAAAUAAUAAGAAUUGGCUCCUCCCAGAAGGCGAAUGGUACAACGGGAAAACCCUGCGUAGCAAAGCCAAGCUUGGAAAAACCACCUAAAGCUAAGACUGCUUUUUGGGUGUUGCUCUUGAGAGAGAGAUUAACAUAGUGUGGAAGACUGGAAGUUGUGGUGUUGCUACGGCAAAAGAGGAAGGGGAAAGGGGAGCAGGGACUCGGGAGGGACUCAAGGAGAAUACAGUACACUGUAUUUUGUAAAUUGUAACUUUUGUUAAACUCGUAAACUCGUUCUGAGUUGACCGAGUUAAUCGAGUUUAACCGAGUUUGACCGAGUUAGCUCAUUUUCAAGUUUUGAAUCCAAUUCUACAUGUUAUAUAUGAGUUGACUCGUAAAAUCAUACGAUUUUAUGAGUCAACUCGCGAGUUUAAUAACAUUGCAUGGGUCCUUGAGGUCAAGUUUCCCAGCUGUCUCCCUUGAUUGGUGUUGCAAGGGGCGGAGCUAGAAUUAUUUAUUAGAAGGGUUAAAAUUAAUAUAAUAAAAUAUAAUAUUUAUUUUAAUUUAUUGUACAUGAGUUGUAAAACAAAAUCUGUAUAAUUUAGUUUUAUUCAAAUAACUUACUACAAACAUAUAAUGACCUUAUUAUAAUGUAAAAGGUUUGGAGCAAUACCAAAUUGAGUCAAAGUAAUGAAGUUAAUUUCAUCUUCAAUAUAUCCAUCACUUUAAUGUUGUUAGUCUUUAUAUCUAUCAAAUAUAAACAUACAAAGUAUAUAAGAAACAUUAGCUAAAGCGAAGCAUUAUUUAUGUUUGAUAAACUUUGAAAUAAAAUAAAAAAUAAUAAAGAAUAAUUCUUAUAUAUUUAUUUUAAUUGUGCUUGUCGUUCUUUCAUAAAAUAGAAAUCAUCGAUUAUCAUAUCAAUUGUGAAUCUUUCAACAAUUGCUUUUUCUAUAUAGACAAUCAAAUAGUUUACAAGAAAAUCAUCCUCCAUCCGAUUGUGAAAUCUUGUUUUAACAAUCUUUAUCGCUGAAAAAGCUCAUUUAGUAGUUGUUGUCGAAACAUGAAGAGUCAAAAUAAGUCGAAUCAACCUGUCAACUAGCGGAUAAAUUGUUGAUUUUUCUGUUUCAACCAAUCUUCGACAUAAAUCAACAAUCAAUGACAUGUUCUUUAACUUUGGAUGAUUGGGUACAUGAUUGGAUGACAUGUUCUAAAAUCAAAACUUAUAUCAUGAGAAAAAAUUGAUAAUUUUGAUGGCUUUGCUUAAAACAAAACAUAAAAAAAAUCUAAGUAUAAUCAAAACAAAACAAUAAAAUAUAUCUAAUUAAUUAGAAAAAAAUCACCAUAACAAGAAUUCAAAAAACAAUUGGUAGAACUGGCAGAUUUGAGGAAAAAAAUUAGCAAAAAUGGUAGAAUUAUAUAAAAAAACCUCAUCAAAUUAUUAACAAACAUCUCAAAAUAAAACAAAAAUAGAUUUUAAAUUUAGGUUACCUUAUUUUAUUUGAUGAAAGAUAAAUUAAUUGGUAACUCUGCUUCAAUUUUUUUGUAGAAAAAUUUUACUCAUAAUUUGUGUUUUUAUCGGCUGCAAGAUUUAUAUUAGGGCUACACAAGAUAAUGACUUUAUAUUUUUUUUAAGAGUAAAUAAAAAAUCAAAAGUAAAGUUACAUUUAAUUACUGGUAAUAAGAACACCUGUUUAAAAUAAAAAAAUUCUAUUAAUUAAAUUUUGUAAAAAUAAAGUAAAAUUAUUAUAAAUAACUUGGAAAAUAAUUUAUGUGUGUAUCUUGUUCAAUGAAAGGAACCAUACAUGAAAUGCAACCACCUAGAAGACAGAACAAGCACAAAAAUAAAAUUUAAAAGGAAAACCUGUUUGGCAAGAUUACAAGCACGAUCUAUCUUGGGGGCCCCGGGCCCUGCUCCCCCCUGCCUGCACUGCUGCCUCUACAAAUUCCCGUGGGCUUCCUAUUAAUUAGAUCGAUCUAUUGAAGAACUCCACUCUCCUGUCAUUGCUCGUGACGUAGACCUCUGACGAAAGGUUGAAUGAAGACAAAAAAUGAGCUAGAAAUGCGUGGAAAGUUUAAAGUGUUUUGAUAUUAAAACUUACUAUUAAUAUUUUAUGGAUGUCCACUUGAAGAUAAUUAAUAUAGUCUUAAUUCUUCACUUGAUAAUAUCUUAAUCCUAUUAAUUAAAAUAAAGUCUUAACACCGACUGUAAAUAUAAUAAUAUAAUUAAUUUAAUAUUGCAAGGAGGAAGGCUUCCAUUAUUUUGCGUUUCUUUCUUUGUUUUUUCCUUUGAACCCUACGUGCUCUCUUAUUCUCUCCUUCACGCAAUUAAAAGGAAUUUUGACCAAAAAAAUAUAUAUAUUCCUCGUUACUUUGAAUGAUUAGAAUUCUUGAGAAUAUUGAUUUUAAUUAGUUUAAAAAAAAUAUGAGAUGAAGAUUUUGACAAAAAAAAUAUUUUUUUAAUAAAAUUUAAAUAAUUCAAACUCUUUUAAAUAUUUAUUUUAAAAAUUAAUUAUAAAAACGGUCGAGCUGCCUUUGUCUAUUUUCUCUAUUCUAAUAUUUAAUGCAUCCAUAUUAUCGUUAAUUUAAAUAACUCUUAAUUUUCAGUAUGCAUUUAACACAUUUCUGUAUGCAUUUAUCUUUUGUUUUUUUAUUAGAAAAACCAACUUUUUAAUUUUAACAUCCAUAAUAAUUUUAUCGGUUUAACUGUUUAUAUACUUUUAACUUUAUUGUAUUAAACACAAAAAUUAUCUUUUUAUUAAUGAUUAACAAAUUUAUUUAUACAUAUCGGUUCCUUAAUCGUGGAGCGCUGAUAAAAUAUAAUAUAAUUAAUAUAAUAUUGUUAUUAAUAUAAUAUAAUGAUUAACAUUUUGAAGUUUUUGGGAACGCGGUUUGCACCGCGUUCCCAAACGGUUUCUCCAGCUUCCACGAGUUAUCAUGCAAUUCAGUGGCUUAUUAGCAUUCUACUACCAUCAUUCUCUCUCACAGAAUCACCCUCACCCUCUCGCAAAAAUCCACCAAGGCUCCUGCUUUCCACUUCUCUUUUUCUCUCACGUAUUCCCACCCUCACCCUUUCUGCAAAAAUCCACCAUGGCUCUGGAGUUGAUCGGAGGAUCAUUUCUCUCUCCUGUCAUUCAGGUUUUGGUCGACAGGUUGGCCUCUCGUCAGGUUCUGGGCUUCUUCAAAAGCCAAAAACUCGACGAUGGUCUUCUGGAAAAGCUGAAUGAAACACUGAAUACUGUCAACGGACUACUCGACGAUGCGGAGGAGAAGCAGAUUACAAAUCGUGCUGUGAAGAACUGGCUUAAUGAUGUUAAACAUGCUGUCUAUGAAGCCGAGGACAUAUUGGAGGAGAUUGAUUAUGAAUAUCUACGAUCCAAGGACAUUGAUGCCCCUCGACCUGACAGCAAUUGGGUAAGCAUAGUUCUUGCACUUGUAGACCUUGCUUCCUCAUAAAAUGUCUGUAAAUGAGGAAAAGAUAAUUUUAGGCAUGACUGUUGUCUUUCUGUGAGUUUUAAUUAAAGAGUAUUCAUUGUAUAUUAUAUAUGCAACUAAUAUUAUUGGCUUUUCGUGUGUGUGCUGAAAUUACGCUUGCAAAUUCUCAUUUAUUAACUAGUUUUCUAAACAUUGGCUUUGGAUUUUUAAAAUCUGAAUUAUUUAUAUAAAUUUUGUCAAUUUUAAUUAAAUUAUAUUUUUAUUUGAGACAAAAAUUAAUUUCAUUAUAUUUAUAAAAAUAAUAUAAUAUGAUAUGAUAAGGGCUGUGAAAAUCACUAAUGACAUUUAAUCAAUAUCUUUUUAAAACUUGAAUUUUACAAUUGUAAAUUCUUGAAAAGAUCUGUAGAAAGAAAAUGUUUAUAUUAAGUUAGCAUCAACGAUUUAAUGGCGUUAACUUAUUGCAGGUAAGGAAUCUGGUUCCACUUCUAAAUCCAGCUAAUAGAAGGAUGAAAGGGAUGGAAGCAGAGUUACAAAGGAUCCUUGAGAAGCUUGAACGUUUACUUAAACGAAAAGGUGAUCUGCGCCACAUAGAAGGUACUGGUGGAUGGAGACCAUUGUCAGAGAAAACAACUCCACUGGUUAAUGAAUCUCAUGUAUAUGGAAGGGACGCUGAUAAGGAAGCCAUAAUGGAGUACUUGUUGACAAAAAACAAUAUAAAUGGCGCAAAUGUAGGUGUGAUUCCUAUUGUGGGCAUGGGAGGGGUUGGUAAAACCACUCUUGCUCAGCUUAUCUACAAAGACAGAAGGGUAGAGGAGUGCUUCGAGCUCAAAGCCUGGGUCUGGACUUCUCAACAAUUUGAUGUUGCCAGGAUUAUUAAGGAUAUUAUUAAGAAGAUCAAAGCAAGGACUUGCCCCACCAAAGAACCAGACGAAUCUCUAAUGGAGGCAGUGAAAGGGAAAAAACUUCUACUUGUUCUAGAUGACGCGUGGAACAUCGAGUACAAUGAAUGGGAUAAAUUACUGCUACCUUUGCGGUAUGUGGAGCACGGAAGUAAGAUUGUCGUGACGACACGGGAUGAAGAUGUAGCAAAAGUCACGCAAACUGUCAUCCCCUCUCACCGCUUGAAUGUAAUAAGCGAUGAAGAUUGCUGGAAGUUGUUUGCAAGGGAUGCAUUUAGUGGUGUAAAUUCUGGAGCAGUCUCACACUUGGAAGCAUUUGGCAGAGAAAUAGUGAGAAAGUGCAAAGGUUUGCCGCUGGCAGCGAAAACUCUUGGGGGUCUUUUGCACUCCGUGGGAGAUGUCAAGCAAUGGGAGAAGAUAUCCAAGAGCAGGAUGUGGGGUUUGUCGAAUGAAAACAUCCCUCCAGCUCUAACAUUGAGCUAUUAUUAUCUCCCUUCACACCUCAAACGUUGUUUUGCUUAUUGUGCAAUAUUUUCCAAGGGUUAUAAAUUCGAGAAGGAUGGAUUAAUCACUGAAUGGAUGGCACAAGGUUUUUUAGUUCAGUCCAGAGGCGUCGAGGAGAUGGAAGAUAUAGGUGAAAAAUACUUUGAUGAUCUUGUCUCCAGGUCAUUUUUCCAGCAAUCACUUUAUGCUCAAUCAGAUUUCAGCAUGCAUGACAUCAUAAGUGAUUUAGCUGAAUACGCGUCAGGAGAAUUUUGCUUUAAGCUUGGUAUUAAUGAAUCGGGCUCUGGGUUCGAGGGUGAACAUUCAUGCACGCUUCCAGAAAGGACUCGUUAUUUAUCAAUCACUUCAG